rnacentral:lncRNA from 10 species
AAAAUAAACACCUAUAUACCCUGCAUUUAGAUUUACCAAUUGUUUACUUUCUACAUUUGUUUUAUAUUUGUCUGUAAAUAUACAUAUGUAUGCAUGUACAUAGUAUGUACAUGUAUAUAAAAACAUUUUUCCUUAACCAUGAAGAUUAUUUGCAGACACCCUGAGUAUUCCUUCCUAAAUACUUCAGCAUACAUUUUCUAAGAACAAAAACAUUUUAUUUCUUAAAUACAAUUGUCAUAUUUAGGACAUUGAAUAUUGAUAAAUAUUUAUAUACAUAUACACUUAAAAAAUUUUUUUUAUUUAGGAGAUGGGAUCUUGCUCUGUCACCCAGGCUGGAGAGCAGUUGCUCAAAUCACUGCAACUGAACCGAGACUUCAACUGUUGGGUUCAAAUGAUCCUCCCCGCUCAGCCUCUUGAAUAGCUGGGACUACAGGUACACAGCACUGCACUUGGCUAAUUUUUAAAUAUUUUUGUAGACACAGUGUCUCGCUAUGUUGCCUGGGCUGGUCUCAAACUCCUGGGCUCAAGCAAUCCUCCCACCUUAGCCUUCGAAAGUGUUGAGAUUACAGGCGUGAGCCACUGUGCCCAGCCAACAUACAUACAUUCUAUAUUCAAAUUGCCCUAAUUGUGACAAUAAUGUGUUAUAACUUUUUUUUAGAUCUUUGCUGUUCACCUUCAAGCUGAGGACUUACCACUUUUCUUCGAUUAUGAAAAAUGCUCAGCCAAUAGCUAUUCAUUAAACAAAUAUUUAUGAGGUGUCAAUCAAUAUCUUGGAUAAAGAAAUCUUCCUUCUUAGAAAGUGUACGAUUCCCAAACGUUUUACAAGAAUGGCUUCUUGCAUGGUAGAGAUCUCCAUCAAGCCAAAGGGCAAAUUCUCCUCCUCCACCACCGAAAGCUAGUGAAUCCAUGUCUCCUUUGAUAAAAAACAUGUUAUCUCCUGUCCACUUAAAGACCUCAAACUCUGGACAGAAUGUAAAAACAAAGGUCUCUCCAGUACCAUAAAAGCCAUCACUCACUUUAAAUGGCUCAGCUGCUAACGCACCAAAAACCUGUCCAUCACUGUCUUUAAUUACCAUCAGCACUGGGGUGUCUAAACCUGUCAUUGUUCGAUAAAGAGUUUUCAAGCAAGCUUGUGCCAUGUUUUCCAGUACCAUAAACAAGAGUCCGUGGAUAGCCAAUUGUUCUUGGUGGAAGAUGCUUGGUAAGCUUUUCAAUUUGAUCUGGCAGUAAACUUUUCAUUUGAGAAUAGGUUUAGGUUUACCAAAAAGUUGCAAAGAUAUACAGAGUCUCUAUACCUCUCACCCAGACUCCUCUGUUGUUAAUGUCUUACAUCACUAUGGUAACUUUUUCACAACUAAGGAACCAACAUUACAUUUAAAUAUAGAUGUAUUUUUUUUUUCUUGUGACGCUAGAGGCCAUGGCUUUAAUCCCUAUACU